rnacentral:rRNA from 1 species
GGGUUGUGAGGUUAAGCGACUAAGCGUACACGGUGGAUGCCCUGGCAGUCAGAGGCGAUGAAGGGCGUGCUAAUCUGCGAUAAGCGCCGGUAAGGUGAUAUGAACCGUUAUAACCGGCGAUACCCGAAUGGGGAAACCCAGUGUGAUUCGUCACACUAUCAUUAACUGAAUCCAUAGGUUAAUGAGGCGAACCGGGGGAACUGAAACAUCUAAGUACCCCGAGGAAAAGAAAUCAACCGAGAUUCCCCCAGUAGCGGCGAGCGAACGGGGAGGAGCCCAGAGCCUGAAUCAGCAUGUGUGUUAGUGGAAGCGUCUGGAAAGGCGCGCGAUACAGGGUGACAGCCCCGUACACAAAAGCGUAUGUGCUGUGAGCUCGAUGAGUAGGGCGGGACACGUGGUAUCCUGUCUGAAUAUGGGGGGACCAUCCUCCAAGGCUAAAUACUCCUGACUGACCGAUAGUGAACCAGUACCGUGAGGGAAAGGCGAAAAGAACCCCGGCGAGGGGAGUGAAAAAGAACCUGAAACCGUGUACGUACAAGCAGUGGGAGCACCCUUUGGGGUGUGACUGCGUACCUUUUGUAUAAUGGGUCAGCGACUUAUAUUCUGUAGCAAGGUUAACCGAAUAGGGGAGCCGGAGGGAAACCGAGUCUUAAUUGGGCGUUAAGUUGCAGGGUAUAGACCCGAAACCCGGUGAUCUAGCCAUGGGCAGGUUGAAGGUUGGGUAACACUAACUGGAGGACCGAACCGACUAAUGUUGAAAAAUUAGCGGAUGACCUGUGGCUGGGGGUGAAAGGCCAAUCAAACCGGGAGAUAGCUGGUUCUCCCCGAAAGCUAUUUAGGUAGCGCCUCGUGAAUUCAUCUCCGGGGGUAGAGCACUGUUUCGGCUAGGGGGUCAUCCCGACUUACCAACCCGAUGCAAACUGCGAAUACCGGAGAAUGUUAUCACGGGAGACACACGGCGGGUGCUAACGUCCGUCGUGAAGAGGGAAACAACCCAGACCGCCAGCUAAGGUCCCAAAGUCAUGGUUAAGUGGGAAACGAUGUGGGAAGGCCCAGACAGCCAGGAUGUUGGCUUAGAAGCAGCCAUCAUUUAAAGAAAGCGUAAUAGCUCACUGGUCGAGUCGGCCUGCGCGGAAGAUGUAACGGGGCUAAACCAUGCACCGAAGCUGCGGCAGCGACACUCAGGUGUUGUUGGGUAGGGGAGCGUUCUGUAAGCCUGUGAAGGUGGCCUGUGAGGGUUGCUGGAGGUAUCAGAAGUGCGAAUGCUGACAUAAGUAACGAUAAAGCGGGUGAAAAGCCCGCUCGCCGGAAGACCAAGGGUUCCUGUCCAACGUUAAUCGGGGCAGGGUGAGUCGACCCCUAAGGCGAGGCCGAAAGGCGUAGUCGAUGGGAAACGGGUUAAUAUUCCCGUACUUGGUGUUACUGCGAAGGGGGGACGGAGAAGGCUAUGUUGGCCGGGCGACGGUUGUCCCGGUUUAAGCGUGUAGGUGUGUGUUCCAGGUAAAUCCGGUUCACUUUAACACUGAGGCGUGAUGACGAGGCACUACGGUGCUGAAGCAACAAAUGCCCUGCUUCCAGGAAAAGCCUCUAAGCAUCAGGUAACAUCAAAUCGUACCCCAAACCGACACAGGUGGUCAGGUAGAGAAUAUCAAGGCGCUUGAGAGAACUCGGGUGAAGGAACUAGGCAAAAUGGUGCCGUAACUUCGGGAGAAGGCACGCUGACACGUAGGUGAAGUGAUUUACUCAUGGAGCUGAAGUCAGUCGAAGAUACCAGCUGGCUGCAACUGUUUAUUAAAAACACAGCACUGUGCAAACACGAAAGUGGACGUAUACGGUGUGACGCCUGCCCGGUGCCGGAAGGUUAAUUGAUGGGGUCAGCGCAAGCGAAGCUCCUGAUCGAAGCCCCGGUAAACGGCGGCCGUAACUAUAACGGUCCUAAGGUAGCGAAAUUCCUUGUCGGGUAAGUUCCGACCUGCACGAAUGGCGUAAUGAUGGCCAGGCUGUCUCCACCCGAGACUCAGUGAAAUUGAACUCGCUGUGAAGAUGCAGUGUACCCGCGGCAAGACGGAAAGACCCCGUGAACCUUUACUAUAGCUUGACA